rnacentral:rRNA from 1 species
ACGUAGGAGGCGAGCGUUAUCCGGAUUCACUGGGCGUAAAGCGCGUGCAGGCGGUUCGGUAAGUUGGGCGUGAAAUCUCCCGGCUCAACUGGGAGAGGUCGUUCAACACUACCGGACUUGAGAGCGAUAGAGGAAAAUGGAAUUCCCGGUGUAGUGGUGAAAUGCGUAGAUAUCGGGAGGAACACCGGUGGCGAAGGCAGCCAUCUGGCCUGUCCUGACGCUGAGACGCGAGAGCGUGGGGAGCAAACAG